rnacentral:misc_RNA from 1 species
AAGUCGUAACAAGGUUUCCGUAGGUGAACCUGCGGAAGGAUCAUUAAUGAAAUGCAAGGGCGCUCUUUCUAGAGGUCCGACCCAAUUCAUUCCUUCACACUGUGCACACACUAUUUUUACACCAUUUUUAAACACAUCAGUCUUAAGGAUGUAACAGUCUCUUAAAUGAGCAUAAACAAAACAAAACUUUCAGCAACGGAUCUCUUGGCUCUC